UACGUAGGGUGCGAGCGUUGUCCGGAAUUAUUGGGCGUAAAGAGCUCGUAGGCGGUUUGUCGCGUCUGCUGUGAAAACCCGAGGCUCAACCUCGGGCCUGCAGUGGGUACGGGCAGACUAGAGUGCGGUAGGGGAGAUUGGAAUUCCUGGUGUAGCGGUGGAAUGCGCAGGAUAUCAGGAGGAACACCGGUGGCGAAGGCGGGUCUCUGGGCCGAUGACUGACGCUGAGGAGCGAAAGCGUGGGGAGCGAACAGG
rnacentral:rRNA from 1 species